GUGGAGAGCAAAGAAGCGGCAAACUGCACAUGGUCAAGAAACGUGGAAGGCUGGCUGUGAAAUCAAGCUGCGCUCUGGCUGCGAGGGAGGUAAUUAUUACCUGUUCUACAGAUUGUUAUGUGUAUAGAAGGCAGCAAUUCAGUUCCUGGACAGAAGAACCUGGGAGGUGCUGCGAAUACACAGCAAGAGUCACUCUUACAACAUUGGAGUAAGAAGAGGCCCACGUUAAAUGAAGCAGAAAUACCUCAACUGCCCUGGCAAAUAAUAAAAUGGAGUCAAAAGCCACAGAAAAAAACAUGGAGAAAUUCUCAGAUGGGAUUGUGUUCUGUAUAGCAGAGCUGACUACAAGAGAUGUUUGUAUAAAAAUGUGCUUAUAGAAAAACAGAUGCAGGAUCCCCAAAAAACAGGCUUCAGGGUGGAGAGUUCAAACUUCAGACUCAUGAUGAACACGAAUGUAAUGAGUGGCAAGGUUGCAGGAGCAGUGGCAGAGGUAACCUGAAGAACACAGAGAUCUUACAUAGAACAUGGCAUCUUGAAGAGCCAUGCAGAUAGAAAGUCAAUGUUGCUGAUUUUGCCAUCAGAAUAAAUUUGGGAGAAGUGAUAGAAGCCAUUAUAGCAAGAAAAUGGCUUCUAUGGAUUUAUACAGUCAUUGACUUGUUCAAGCCCAUCCUUAAUUCCAUCUUCUUGAAGCCAAUGUAGAGACUUAAAAUGAAUUUGGACCUAUCUAUGUAAGUAAUAAACAGCAGACAAAUUCUUACUAUUUGGAUGAGGACAGAAAAUUUAUUUCCACUAUAAGUGGAGAAUGCUAGAACUGUCGUUCUGGUCAAUGUCAGCCUUUGUCCUAAUCUACAACCACUACUUAGCUUGGUGUUGAGAGAACACAUUUAACUGAUUAAUUUAAACCCACCAAUAGAACAUUAAUAAUACUCGAGGUCCUCAAACAAUCAGACUGCCCUAACAUAUCCCACAAAGCCUGAUGUAGGUGUCUCUCAACAAAAUUUUACCACUGAAUAUAAGGUGAGUGAUACAUUUUUAUCACAGU